ACUUGAUUAUUAUUAAUCAUUCUAAAUUUACAACAAUUUUAAAAAAAUUUGAAAAAAUAAGGAAAAGCCCAAGCUCGGCCCAGGCCCAGCCCUUGCACUUCUUAUUUAAUGGGCUUGGGCUUGGGCUUGAAAAGCGUUGCCGAAUCCCUUAAUUUACCAACCCAUAUGUGAUUGUGAGACCUAUCAAGAGGUUCCCUUGCCAUGAUUCGAAGUUAGAGCCAUUUAGGAUAGAAAUAAAAUUUAUGUUGGCAGUAAUAUUAGCAGGAGUCAUAACUGAAUCAAAAACCAAUAAACAAACAAAACAAGCUUCUAAGUCCCGAAACAAAAAAUAAAUUAGAAAAAAACGUAAACCUUAUCUCAAGAUACUGGACACUUUAUUAAUAUUUCAUCUUUGGAAAAAAAAUUAACUUGUUAGGGAUAUCUUGAUGUAGUAAUCAAACAUGAAUAAUAAUAACAUAUCAAAUAAUAAAUCUUCCUUUGGGCCGAUUUAUUACUCACAUGUAAUACUGAAUAAUCAUCACGUAUUUAUUACCACAGAUGCACAUGCAAUUAUGUUAAAUAUGAACCUUCUUUUGGGCCGAUUGAUAUUCACAAAAAUUACAUAUACACAACCGUUUAUAUUCUAAAAUAAUUUAAUUUCUACAAGAAAGGUCACUUUAGUGACAUGUUGCUUCAAUUAACUUAUCUUAAAAUAUAUAUUAACAUAUCAAUAUUUGAAUUUAAAAUUACACAAAAAGUUAUCCUUCAAAAAGAUUAAAAAAAUUCAAGUCAAGGUCAAUGGUCAAAGUCAACGAUCAAUAGUCAACUAUUGAUCGAUUAACUAUUAACUGGGUCGAGCUGGACCAGUUUGGGUUGACCUGAAUCGAAUCCUAAACCAGCCCCCAAAUUAACCCUAACCUUGAUUUUUGUUUUUUUUUAUUUCCUUUCUUUCUUUUGGCAGCGGAUAUGGCCGCUACUUUUGUGCCAUCUGUCGCGGCCAUAACCCACAACUCACGACCUGGUGGCCACUGCUUGCUUUUUGUAGCUCACGGACACCAAGUUGCGGCUCGUAUUUGUCCUUUUUUAGUUGAGGCAAUCGCAUGGUUGUUUGGUUUAAUUGCUCUAGCUUGAACCAACCUCUCUUUGUUUUUUCUUGUUUGGUUUCUUUCAUCAUGCAGCGGCCAUGGCCGCCACUUUCACUCAAGUCAAAUUCUGAAUUUCCCAAAACAAUGAUUUUAAUCUAGAAAACAAUCACAAAUUAUUCUUAAUAAUUCAACAUGAAGAGAUUAUGAUAUCAUUUUUUAGAAAAUAAUUAAACGUUUAGUAAUAACCAUCACCUAUAGUCGAAGAACAUUCAUUUCGUAUCACCAAGAAUCAAUAAUAGAAUAAGCGAAAGCGUAUCUAAUUCCAUAAUGUGCAGUUACUAUCUAGAGUCAUGUGGUUGGUCUUCCAGAUCAACAUGUUCUCUCAGAGAAUCUUUUAAUUUUCUUUGUGCUCUCUUUGUGAUGAUCUGAUGUCAAAAAGAAUAAAAUGAUAAAUGUGGCCUGGGGACCAUAACGACUUAUAAAGACAACGUUUCAUGUUGUCUUUAGGUAUUCUUACCUCAUCCCAUUAUAGAAAUAGAAAUUACCCUUAUGUAUCUACAUAUUGAAGGCCCACACCCAAUUAGAUACAUUAAAGCCAUUUUACUGUCAAUCUUAAUAGAUCACUUUUAAUUGAGCUUAAUCUUAUAUGAUAAUCCGCAAUACAAUUAUUCACAUACAAACCCAACAUUGCAUUAAGAAUCCAACAACAUUGGAUUAAAGAUCCAACAUGAUGUAGAUGAACUAAUGGACUCAUAGCCCAACCUUCAUCACAAAAUUCUGCAAUUUCACCUUGAUUGGUUGUUUUCCUCCAUUUGAAGAAAAAUUCUAGAAUACAUCUGAAGUAUUAUGUUAAUUAUACAAUAAGUAAAUGAACUUAUGACAUGUGCGCAUUUAUUUUAAAGAACCAACAUGUGAUUGGUGGUUAUAUAAAAUUCAAUUACACAUGUUAUACAUGUAGUAAUUAGUUGUAUUACCUCUGAUAUAUUCUAGAAUUCCUUUUACUUGAGAAUGCUUAAAUUUAUUUGUUUAAUCUUAUAUUUGUCGGUAGCGAAGCAGAUGAAUUAUUUUAAUCCGAGCGAAUGGAAAUUAAUUAGUCUUUCAAUAAUAAUUAUUUAUAUAUUGAGAUUACUAUGAUUUUUUUAUUGUGUGUGUGUGUGUGUUAAUAGUCAUUCCUUGUAAAGGAUUAAUAUUAAAAUUAUCAAUUUUAUUGAGAGGAAAAAAUUGUGUUAAGUGGCAAUAUGAAUAUUACUUAUUUUAUUAAACCUUAACUAGAAAUUUUUGAAAAUUAUCGACCUUUGAACAAAUUUCCCAAGGGCAUCUCAUAGCUUGGACCUUUGCCUAUGGUAUUUAACGUAAAACUAGGAAUUAAGUGAAGGCAAACCCGAUCCAACCCAAUAGACUCAAUCCGACUCAAUAACUCAAUCUAAUUUUCAUGGGCUGAGUAGAUUAUUGUUGAGCUAACUGGGUCAAUUUUUUUGAACCUAAUUAAUAAUUUACUUGGGGUGGGUUUUUUUAAUUAUGAUGAACCCGUCUAACCUAAUCCAACCCAACCCAUGUAAAUAAUGAUGAUGAUGAUGAUGAUAUGUUUAUCCUUAAUUGUAAAUUCUUAAAGAUCUAAUUACAAAACUAAAUUCACUCUCUCAUAUAAGUAAGUUUAUUAUCUUCUAAGUAUAAUUUUUAAAGAAAAUUUGUGUCAACUUCUCUUUAUUUUUUAGUAAACAUUUAAUAGUACAUAAUUAUCUAUCACUUUUAUUUUGUUACUAGACUUGAUACUGGUUAAUCAACAAAAUGGUCUGAAUUUAGAAUUCGAAUAAGAGAUGUAGGGGGCUAGGAAUAAAGUUUAGAAGCACAUUGUUGAAAUUUUCUUAAAUUUAAGAGAUUUUUUAGCUUUUCUUUUGAAAACACUUGAUAGUAAAUUAAAUUUUCAUACUAUUAUAGAUUUGUAUUUGAUUUUGAUAAAUUUCAUUUCAAAUUUCAUGUAUUCUUCUUUAUUUAAUUUUAAUUUUGAUUUAUCUUCAAUAAAAUCUAACCCAACCCAACUCAAUGAUUUAAAGGUUUGGUUGGAUUAGGUUAAGCAUAUUUAUUUAAUUGAGUUGGGUUGAUUUUAUUUCAACCUAUUCAAUAGUGGGUUGGGUUGGAUUUUUCACAAACCCUAUGAUAACGAUAAAGAUAAAACUUAAAAUCUGAUAUAUCAUUAUCAUUAUAGUUAGUCUUGUAAUUAUCCUUGUAAUUAUCUAAUGUUUAUCAUAUGUAUUCUUAGCUUGUAUAUAAGUGAAGCAUAUAUUAAAUGAACCU
rnacentral:lncRNA from 1 species